rnacentral:rRNA from 1 species
GGGGAAUAUUGCGCAAUGGGGGAAACCCUGACGCAGCAAUACCGCGUGAGUGAAGAAGGUUUUCGGAUCGUAAAGCUCUGUUAUUGGGGAAGAAAAAAAGACGGUACCCAAGAAGAAAGUCCCGGCUAACUACGUGCCAGCAGCCGCGGUAAUACGUAGGGGACAAGCGUUGUCCGGAUUUACUGGGCGUAAAGGGCACGCAGGCGGUCUGUCGCGUCUGCUGUGAAAACCCGAGGCUCAACCUCGGGCCUGCAGUGGGUACGGGCAGACUAGAGUGCGGUAGGGGAGAUUGGAAUUCCUGGUGUAGCGGUGGAAUGCGCAGAUAUCAGGAGGAACACCGAUGGCGAAGGCAGAUCUCUGGGCCGUAACUGACGCUGAGGAGCGAAAGGGUGGGGAGCAAACA